CUAAAGUGAUGCAGCUAUGAGCCUAGGAACGCCAAGGAUUGCCAGCAACUUCCAGAAACCAGGAAAAUGCGUGGAAGGAUCCUUCCUCCAGAGACUUUGGAGGGAGAGUGACCCUACCAACACAUUGAUUUUGGAUUUCUGGCCUCCAGAACUAACUCAGCUUUCUACAAAGACUGCCUUGCUCAGUUGUCAUCGUGUGGCUGGUCGGGGUGUCAGUAUUCUAGUGUUCCUACUCAACAGAUGCAGGAAUAGAGACUCACAGGGGUAGGAUGGUCUGCCCUGGGUCACAGAACAACAGAGAAGAAUCAGAGUCACCGAGAAGUUACAUAAGCACAGCCCACCAAGCUGAGAGCAGCGAUUUGCCUGAGGGCCUGCAGAAGAAUUUCUCCCUCCAUGCAUCCAAGCCAUGACUGAUUCAUUUCCUUUAAAAACAAACAAAUGUGUUUUUACAUCAAGACUACUAAGACUUCU
rnacentral:lncRNA from 10 species